rnacentral:rRNA from 1 species
AUNUCAAUAAGCGGAGGAAAGGAAACUAACAAGGAUUCCCCUAGUAACUGCGAGUGAAGCGGGAAAAGCUCAAAUUUGAAAUCUGGCAGUCUUUUUUUUCUUCUUUGGCUGUCCGAGUUGUAAUCUAGAGAAGUGCUUACCUGCGCUGGACCAUGUAUAAGUCUCCUGGAAUGGAGCGUCGCAGAGGGUGAGAAUCCCGUCUUUGACAUGGACUGCCAGCGUGUUGUGGUGUGCUCUCAAAGAGUCGAGUUGUUUGGGAAUGCAGCUCUAAACGGGUGGUAAACUCCAUCUAAAGCUAAACAUUGGCGAGAGACCGAUAGCGAACAAGUACCGUGAGGGAAAGAUGAAAAGGACUUUGGAAAGAGAGUUAAACAGUAUGUGAAAUUGUUGAAAGGGAAACGCUUGGAGUCAGUCGUGUUGGCUGGGGAUCAACCUAGCUGUUUUGCUGGGUGAUUUUCCUAGUCCGACAGGCCAACAUCAGUCUUGGCUGCUGGAAAAGAGCGGGGGGAAUGUGGCACCUUUGGGUGUGUUUAUAGCCCUUUGUCAUAUGCAGCAGUCGGGACUGAGGGAUGCAGCGUGCCGCGAGGCUGGGUUUCGACCAYGUUCACGCUUGGGAUGUUGGCUUUUAAUGGCUUCAAUCGACCCGUCUUGAAACACGGACCAAGGAGUCUAACAUGCCUGCGAGUGUUUGGGUGGGGAAAACCCUUGUGCACAAUGAAAGUGAAAGUUGAGAUCCCUGUCGUGGGGAGCAUCGACGCCCGGACCUGAGCUUUCAGCGAUGGAUCCGCGGUAGAGCAUGCAUGUUGGGACCCGAAAGAUGGUGAACUAUGCCUGAAUAGGGCAAAGCCAGAGGAAACUCUGGUGGAGGCUCGUAGCGAUUCUGACGUGCAAAUCGAUCGUCAAAUUUGGGUAUAGGGGCGAAAGACUAAUCGAACCAUCUAGUAGCUGGUUCCUGCC